GAUGAACGCUGGCGGCGUGCCUAAUACAUGCAAGUCGAGCGAACAGACGAGGAGCUUGCUCCUCUGACGUUAGCGGCGGACGGGUGAGUAACACGUGGAUAACCUACCUAUAAGACUGGGAUAACUUCGGGAAACCGGAGCUAAUACCGGAUAAUAUAUUGAACCGCAUGGUUCAAUAGUGAAAGACGGUUUUGCUGUCACUUAUAGAUGGAUCCGCGCCGCAUUAGCUAGUUGGUAAGGUAACGGCUUACCAAGGCAACGAUGCGUAGCCGACCUGAGGGGGUGGUCGGCCACACGGGAACUGGGACACGGUCCAGACUCCUAAGGGAGGCAGCAGUAGGGAAUCUUCCGCAAUGGGCGAAAGCCUGACGGAGCAACGCCGCGUGAGUGAUGAAGGUCUUCGGAUCGUAAAACUCUGUUAUUAGGGAAGAACAAAUGUGUAAGUAACUAUGCACGUCUUGACGGUACCUAAUCAGAAAGCCACGGCUAACUACGUG
rnacentral:rRNA from 1 species